UACGUAGGGUGCAAGCGUUGUCCGGAAUUAUUGGGCGUAAAGAGCUUGUAGGCGGUUUGUCGCGUCUGCUGUGAAAUUUCGGGGCUCAACCCCGAACUUGCAGUGGGUACGGGCAGACUAGAGUGUGGUAGGGGAGACUGGAAUUCCUGGUGUAGCGGUGAAAUGCGUAGAGAUCCGGAGGAACCCCAGAGGCGAAGGCGGCAGCCUGGUUGGCUCCUGACGCUCGGACACGACAGCAUGGGGAGCGAACGGG
rnacentral:rRNA from 1 species